rnacentral:rRNA from 1 species
UACGUAGGGCGCAAGCGUUGUCCGGAAUUAUUGGGCGUAAAGAGCUCGUAGGCGGUCUGUUGCGUCGGCUGUGAAAACCCGGGGCUCAACCCCGGGCCUGCAGCCGAUACGGGCAGACUAGAGUUCGGCAGGGGAGACUGGAAUUCCUGGUGUAGCGGUGAAAUGCGCAGAUAUCAGGAGGAACACCGGUGGCGAAGGCGGGUCUCUGGGCCGAAACUGACGCUGAGGAGCGAAAGCGUGGGGAGCAAACAGG